rnacentral:rRNA from 13 species
CCGUUAUCCGGAUCGAGGACAGUGUAUGGUGGGUAGUUUGACUGGGGCGGUCUCCUCCAAAAGAGUAACGGAGGAGUGCAAAGGUACCCUCAGCCUGGUUGGCAAUCAGGCAUUGAGCGCAAUGGUAGAAGGGUGCUUAACUGCGAGAGUCAUCACUCGAGCAGGUACGAAAGUAGGUCAUAGUGAUCCGGUGGUUCUGUAUGGAAGGGCCAUCGCUCAACGGAUAAAAGGUACUCCGGGGAUAACAGGCUGAUACCGCCCAAGAGUUCAUAUCGACGGCGGUGUUUGGCACCUCGAUGUCGGCUCAUCGCAUCCUGGGGCUGUAGGCGGUCCCAAGGGUUAGGCUGUUCGCCUAUUAAAGCGGUACGCGAGCUGGGUUUAGAAC